rnacentral:tRNA from 1 species
GGAUCCCUGUGUGGUAAGGCGUCGGUCUCGUAAACCGAAGAUCGCGGGUUCGAACCCCGUCCG